GAGAGAGAGAGGUGUGUGUGUGUGUGUGUGUGUAAGUGGUGCUAUUGGUUGUUCAACACUCCAGUUGGUCUAUUGAUCCUGAGUGUAUUAAGGAGUGUGUGUUUCAGCGUCCUGUUCAUGUGUGUGUUUACGAGUCCUU